rnacentral:rRNA from 1 species
CACGUAGGGCGCAAGCGUUGUCCGGAAUUAUUGGGCGUAAAGCGCUCGUAGGUGGUUUGUUACGUCCGCUGUGAAAUCCUAGGGCUUAACCCUGGGCUUGCAGUGGAUACGGGCAGACUAGAGGUAGGUAGGGGAGAAUGGAAUUCCUGGUGUAGCGGUGAAAUGCGUAGAUAUCGGAAGGAACAACAGUGGCGAAAGCGACUUCCUGGACCAAUACUGACGCUCAUGUGCGAAAGCGUGGGGAGCAAACAGG